rnacentral:tRNA from 12 species
AGUGGCGCAGCUUGGUAGCGCACUUGUUUUGGUACAAGGGGUCGCAGGUUCAAAUCCUGUCU